rnacentral:rRNA from 1 species
CCAUAACUCCAGUUGAUCCUGCUGGAGGCUACUGCUAUUGGGGUUCGAUUAAGCCAUGCAUGUUGGGGUUUCUGGCAAUGAAACCCAGCAAACAGCUCAGUAACACAUGGACAAUCUACUCUUAAGAGGAGGAUAACCUCGGGAAACUGAGGGUAAUACUCCAUAGGUGAGAGACUCUGGAAUGACUCUCACUGAAAGGACAUUGACCUGUUGCCGGUCAAUGUUGCUUAAGAGAGAGUCUGUGGCGGAUUAGGUAGACGUUAGGGUAACGGCCUAACGUGCCAACGAUCCGUACCGGCUAUGGGAGUAGGAGCCGGGAGAUGGAUACUGAGACAAAGAUCCAGGCCCUACGGGGCGCAGCAGGCGCGAAACCUCCACAAUGCGCGAAAGCGUGAUGGGGGAACCCCAAGUGUCCCUGUACAACAGGGACUUUUAUAGAGUGUAAAAAGCUCUAUGAAUAAGGGCUGGGUAAGACCGGUGCCAGCCUCCGCGGUAACACCGGCAGCUCAAGUGGUAGCCGCGUUUACUGGGCUUAAAGCGUCCGUAGUCGGUCUGGUAAGUUCUUUGUGAAAUCCUAUGACUCAAUCAUAGGGCUUGCAGAGAAUACUACCAGACUUGGAACCGGAAGAGGUCAGGGGAAUUCUCGGGGUAGCGGUGAAAUGCUAUAAUCCCGGGAAGACCACCGAUAGCGAAGGCACCUGACUGGGACGGGUUCGACGAUGAGGGACGAAAGCUAGGGGAGCAAACCGGAUUAGAUACCCGGGUAGUCCUAGCCGUAAACGAUGUGGGCUAAGUGUUUCUUGAACUUCGUGUUCAAGAAGUGUUGAAGGGAAACCGUUAAGCCCACCGCCUGGGGAGUACGGUCGCAAGGCUGAAACUUAAAGGAAUUGGCGGGGGAGCACCACAAGGGGUGGAGUCUGCGGUUUAAUUGGAUACAACGCCGGGAAACUUACCAGGGGCGACGGCAGAAUGACGGCCAGACUGAUGAUCUUGCCAGACGAGCCGAGAGGUAGUGCAUGGCCGUCGUCAGCUCGUACCGUGAGACGUGCGGUUAAGUCCGUUAACGAGCGAGACCCGUGCCUUUAUUUGCCACCUACUUUGAUGAAAGUAGAGCACUAUAAAGGGACCGCUGGCGGUGAGCCAGAGGAAGGUGCGGUCGACGAUAGGUCUGUAUGCUCCGAAUCUCCUGGGCUACACGUGGACUACAAUGGCACAAACAAUGGGUUGCGACUCCGAAAGGAGAGAGCUAAUCCCCUAAAUUGUGCCUCAGUUCGGAUUGAGGGUUGAAACCCACCCUCAUGAAGGUGAAAUCCCUAGUAAUCGCUGGUAACCAUCCAGCGGUGAAUAUGUCCCCGCUCCUUGCACACACCGCCCGUCAAACCAACCGAGUAGAUCUAUAAUGAGGCUUUCUCAUCCGAGAGAGUCGAAUUAUAGAUCUGCAAGGGGGGUUAAGUCGUAACAAGGUAGCCGUAGGGGGAUCUGCGGCUGGAUCACCUCCA